rnacentral:SRP_RNA from 1 species
GCUGGGCGUGGUGGCUCACGCCUGUAAUCCCAGCACUUUGGGAGGCUGAGGCGGGUGGAUCACCUGAGGUCAGGAGUUCAAGACCAGCCUGACCAACAUGGUGAAACCCCGUCUCUA